UGUGGCUAGUAUCCAGAGAGAUGCUUUGGGAGAAAUGUGAAACAUAAGAUAUGGGCAUUUCACUCCAAAAAGUAAUCUAAAAGGUAAAAUGAACCAAACUCAUGAAAAAUAUUUAAGAAAUCAAGCCAGUGAUUAUCAUGUAACAAACAGAACAAUACUGGCUCCACCUGGUGGUCAAUAAGCCUCAACAGUUUCAUGAAAAUCAGUCAAAAGAGAUUAAGCUAAUUUAG
rnacentral:lncRNA from 1 species